rnacentral:rRNA from 1 species
UACGUAAGCCCCGAGCGUUGUUCGGAAUUAUUGGGCGUAAAGGGCAUGUAGGCGGCUUUGCAAGUCUGGUGUGAAAGGCAGGAGCUUAACUCCUGGACUGCGCUGGAAACUGCAUGGCUUGAGUCACUGAGGGGCAUCCGGAAUUCCUGGUUUAGGGGUGAAAUCUGUAGAUAUCAGGAAGAACACCGAUGGCGAAGGCAGGGUGCCAGCGGAUGACUGACGCUGAGGUGCGAAGGUGCGGGGAGCAAAC